AUGCACGCUGGCGGCGUGCCUAAUCCAUGCCAGUCGCGCGAACAGACGAGGAGCUUGCUCCUUUGACGUUAGCGGCGGACGGGUGAGUAACACGUGGGUAACCUACCUAUAAGACUGGGAUAACUUCGGGAAACCGGAGCUAAUACCGGAUAAUAUUUCGAACCGCAUGGUUCGAUAGUGAAAGAUGGCUUUGCUAUCACUUAUAGAUGGACCUGCGCCGUAUUAGCUAGUUGGUAAGGUAACGGCUUACCAAGGCAACGAUACGUAGCCGACCUGAGAGGGUGAUCGGCCACACUGGAACUGAGACACGGUCCAGACUCCUACGGGAGGCAGCAGUAGGGAAUCUUCCGCAAUGGGCGAAAGCCUGACGGAGCAACGCCGCGUGAGUGAUGAAGGUCUUCGGAUCGUAAAACUCUGUUAUUAGGGAAGAACAAACGUGUAAGUAACUGUGCACGUCUUGACGGUACCUAAUCAGAAAGCCACGGCUAACUACGUG
rnacentral:rRNA from 1 species